ensembl:lncRNA
GAAGAAUCAGACAGCUCCAUCUAUUUAGGGUUCCCCUGCACCUCCCUUGCUCCUCUGAAUCCGAUCAGCUCUGUAGAAAGCAACCAAGUUUCUUCUGUGAAGCCUCCCUACACCCAGCAUGGGAUCAAAGUAGUGAAACGGAGCCUAGCUGCCAUGAGAUGUUCCCGCCGUCUGCUUCUUCCUCCUUGUUCCUGUCUCUGCACACGUCUUAGCGUUCUUCCUUGUUCAUCUCUGUAGGGUGCAGAUGGGACCAUUGCCAUGAUCACCACCGUCAGAGUCCACUUACUGAACGCCUGCCCUGUGCUAACCACCACGUUUGCAACUUGACAUGAACUACGUCAUAUACUCCUCACAAAACCUAGCGAAGCAGAAGUAUCGCCCCGCUUUAAUGAUGGUGACACUGAGGCAAAGACAGUUUAACAGGCUGGCCAAAGCCCGCACAGAUGAGUGGGUCUUUGAACUGUAAGCUUCUCUCUUCUGAAGGGAAUUUAGAACCUUCAGAAAAAUUGUGACAGAGGCACAGGUACUUUAAGCACCCUUCAGUACCCCUUCCUAACUUCCUUUCUCUCUCUUUCUUUUCUUUCUUCCCUCCCUCCUGCCCUCCCUUCCUCCCUCCUUCUCUUCCUCUUUCUGUCUUCCUUUCUUGCUUGCUUGCUUUCUGUACUGGAGCUGAACCCAGGGCCUUCCACUGAGCUACAUCCCCAACACGUUUUCAUUUUUUGAGACAGGGUCUCCCUGAGUUGUCCAGGCUGGCCUUGAACUCGUGCUCCUCCUGGCUAACUGGGAUCACAGGCAUACACCGUAGCAUCUGGCUCAAUACCCUCCUUCCCACCACCGGGAAACUACUGUUCUCCACAGCUUUCUCCAACUGCCAGGAAUCUCAUCACUCCCAACCGUAUCUUUCUUGGAAGUUUCUACUGAAACCUUCUUCAGUGACUCCAAGUGGAUGUUGCUACUUUCAAAGUUCUAACAACUCUGUGCCCUCAGCAAUCUCAAGUCCAUCCCCAGACUUCUCAGAACAGCGAACAUGGGGCUUUUCCAUUCAGAAACACCAGAACAGCCACGCUGGGGAUGCAGCCCCACGGUAGAGCACUGCCCAGCAUGAGCAGCCCUGGACGUGACUCCGGCACUGUGCAUCAUCCAUUCUGUCAACCAGUCCAGAGCAACAGCAAUUGUUUAAGGCCAUUGCUCUGAAUCCAGAGCAUAUUGAGGGGAAUGUACGGGCA